GGAAGGCAAACAAAAGUGGUUCGCAGUGGCUUGCUCAAUAGUCAAAAUCCUCCAAAACAUGGAACAGCGGAUAAAUCUGUGUAUGUUGAGUAUGAGAAGAGAAGGGCAGUAUAUGAAGGUUUAAAAUAUGGAAAAAGUUCUGCAUCAGGAAGUAGCACUUCAGUUUCAGGCAGUGGGAAAGGUUCGUUACUGUUACUUGGUGAAAAAAGCAGAAAAUAUAACUCAGAGAACUUCAAGCAAAAAGGCCAGUAAAGUCAAAGCUGACAUUGGUUUGUUUGAAAAAUCUAAUGGAACAGUAUUGAUGGCCCUUCCGAAUAUUUGAAAAGGAAAAUAUUCACCUGCCAUUUUUGUGCUAAGGAGAGAAGCUCUGGCUGCUGCAGUCUUGUUGAUUCACUGAGAAUUCUGUCAUAUUUACAAUGAACACAGCUGCAGCUAUGCAGUGUUAUCAAGGCUUUACAGACUGAGUGUUUUUUCUAGGAUGUUUCACGGAUGUCUUGUUAUUUUAGGUAAAUGUCAAAUAUUUUAUUUACAGUUAGUAUUGCUUAAAACUCAGGGAACCUAUUGGUUCAUGAAGUUAGUAUGAGGUGGUUCUCAAACAUGUUUUUUUUUUUUACUUCUCCCAUCCAUGACUAUGCAACUUCAUAUAACAGUCUUUAAAAAUAAUUGUUAUUAAGAUUUGUUCUAAAACUACCUGUUUGUAUAUCAUAAAUUUAACUUCUUGAUGGCUAAAUGAACAUUUUGACAGUGUUAAGUUAGCACUGAAUAUAAAGAGGUAGUAUGAUGUAACUUAGGAAACAUGAUAAUGUCUUACCCAUUUAGUAGCAUUACACAAUAACUUUACUGACCUCUUGAUAUAACAUUGUGGAUCCUUUCUGAUGGAUCCGCGCUUGGGGAUAUCCUUUAUUCUCCUCCAGUUCAGCAUUAUGUCUUUCAAGUUCUGGCAGUCAGGGGUGCAUAUGCCUUAUGCAGGAGCAAGCCAUGAUAUUAUGUGCUGCACUAGGAGAACAUGCCUAAGCAGUGAGUUCUGCCUUUGUUUUGACACUUACAUAGUUCAGCUCUCAGUCCUAAUUUCUAUCAUAGAGAAGUUCCUGUGCUUGAUGCCUAAGGAGAAAGCUUUCUUAAGCAUUCCUGUGUCUAUCAGAUAGUGAGCAAAGAUCCACGCUGGCACUGGCUGUUCUGCCUGGGAGCUAAUGCUUUAAGUGUUAGAAGUUCAGGCCAGCUGCAUGUCAGCAUAGGAAAGAGAACCUUCUGGCCUGUCUUACUAUUAUGGAAAUGGUGAAGGUUGAAAGUGAUCAGUUUUGAUAUCAGUAGAAAGACCUGAUGUGCAGCCACAGACUUUUGCCGGAACAGCAUAAGAAGGCUAAAGAAACUAAUGGUAGACAGUAGUCACACCCUUCUUGAGGUAAGCCCAUUCUUGAGACUACUUCCCAGCCCCUGCUUGAAUGUCCUGGCUGUAGACUUAAUUGUACUCCUUUUGGUUGUUUUAGCUGAACAUCUUGGAGAACAUCAUCUCUGGCAACAGUCAUGAAGAAUGUAGCCAAUGUUGUAGGCACCACUCUUUACUCAUUGAUCAGCCAGAGCACACAUGUAGCUAGCUCGAUUCUAAGGAGAAAAGUUCCUUGAGUCAUUUAGCUGUAGCUGAAUGGGUGCAGUUAGGACAGAGGACUCCUUUUCAACUCAUUCCCUGUGCCAAACAUGACUUAGUAGCCCAAGCUGAAAAUGGUCAUCUGGGUCCUGAUGCAUCAGGGUCUGGUCUUUAGGCUGUAGACAUAAGGCAGCUGUUUGAGGUCUGGUGGGUCCUGUUCUUGCCUGAUGCCAUCACUGGGCAGGGAACAGACCUCUGAAGUUCUUGCACCCCCCAUUAUCAGGUGCAUCCCUGAGUACUGUUAUCCCAAUGCCCAGUAUGUGGUUCCAGGUAUUACAUGCACAACCCCAUGCCUGUUAUCCAUGCAUAAGCCAUUUCCAACGCUAGUAUGGGGCAUGGAUCUCUUGGUCCAUUUGUUUUCUGUGAGAGGUCAGAUGACUGGAUCCUGUUAUCUUCAAGGCAGAACAAUAAAGAGAACCCCCCUCCCUCAACUACCUAUUGGUUAAUAUUUACUAUGGAGAAAUUCUGAAGCUCAUGGAGUUUAACAUAGACUGAUCUUUGUUCUUUACUCUGUCCCCUCAAAAGUGCCAGAAUGAGUAUCUAGUGAAUAAGGAGAAACAUUGGCACAAUCCACUUGUGAACACUGUCAUUACGAAUGGCAACAGGCUUCUACUUCAGUAGAUUCCAACAAGGUGGAUGCCCUUUAUAAUUCCUUGGCUGAAUGGUAUGGAUCCUGACCAGGAAUCCUAGAGCACACUCUUACAUGAUCUCCUCAGUCAAACAUAAGACUGAUAGGUCAUAACACUCUACCACUCUGUCAUUAAACAAGGACUCUAAACUGUUAAGAUGAACAAGAGAGUCUUUUCUUUUGCUAUAUUGAGGACUGGGUCACAUAACUGUUUGUUGUACUUAUCCAGAAUCCAGCCUUCCCUAGUAUAGAUCUGGGGAUAACAAAACUUUUGGACCAUUUUGUUUACUGACUCAAGGAAGAGUUGUUCAAGACUCUGCCUACAUUGUUCAUAGCUCACAAGUAUGUGCAUUACUGUAGUUUUAACUAUGCUGAAUCUUUGGCUUGGUCAUCAGGCUUGAACAUAUAUCUGUGUAGUAUGGCAUAGCUGAGACUUUCCUUUCUGAGGGAUGAGUUUAGACAGUUUAUGCUCAAUGCCUUAUUCAAGCAGGUGGUCCCAUUGAGCCAGCCCUAUCAGAAUUUGGAGGAUGACUUUCCAUAUAGGGAAGCUGGCUAUCACCAGUAACAAUAACUUUUAUGAACCUUCCCAGCCCCUUCUCUUCUUAUUCUACUAGGCAUAGCCAAUCCCCUAGAAAGUUAAAGCCACACUAGUACAAGAACCCUUAAGCAUCAGAUAGUUUCACCUCAUCCCAUCUGAGGUACCAGCUAAGUCAUCCCAGAAAAUGACUGUUAGUCUAGCAGCUGACAUCUUAUCAUAUAUGGUUGUCUAAGGGAGGAGCCUGUUAUCUAGAUUUGACACUGCUUGGAGGCCCAUCAUAAAUGAUGUAUGUCAUACCCUGAAAGGGCUCCACUCCAAGACCAAGCCAUCUCAAAAGAUUACAUUGAACAUGCCCUGACUGUAGAUUUUAAAGACUUGACAUAAGCUUUCCUGCCUUUGAAAUGAGGCCAUUUAUUCUACUUCUUGGAUUCAGAAGGAAUGGAAAGCUUCCGUCCCAUUUUUGAUGUCUGCAGCAUUAACAGACAUAACCACUACUUCAGAUUCUAGAUGACACUCUUCAGGGGUCAUAAUCUUGCUGUUAUAAGGUACCUGAGAUGUGUGGAUAGAUAUGAUAGAUGCCUUCUGGCACAUCAGUGUCUGUAGUCUUUACAGGAAAUUCAUUAAUUUCAUUAUUUCCUUCUUUCUUUCUUUCUUCAUUGGUACCACUGUCAGCACAGAACACUUCUGUUAGAUUUUUUCCUGUACAUGCCUGGUGCUUGCCAUACUAAAAUAGGCCUUCACAGAGUAAGGAAUGUAGUCUAUUCCUCUUUCUCAAAGACUGAUACCUGUCAUCGUCAUCAAGGGACUUCCUGAUGAUUUUCUGGAAUGAGCCUUGCAUUACAGUGACUUGGGUGACCAUAAGUGCAUAAACUGAGAGAAUUUAUCUCUUAUAUCAUCUGAGAGAGCUGUCUUCCUUCUCAAAAUGCUGAACACUCUCUAUUGUCAGCCAUUUCUACCCACAUAGAGAGCUCAGGAGAUCACAAACUUAGCAGCACUGGGGAGGACACAGUAAAGAAUCCACUUUUCCACCCUCUUGCAUCUUCUGAGCUUGAUGACCACUACAGCCUUUACUGUACCUUUUGCACAGCUGAGGAUAUGGAUAAUUCAGUAGACUGUGAGCUGUCAUUAGCAGCAAUGUCACCAUGAACUCAGUUCUUUUGGUGUUACACUUUUAUUGGUGGAUUCUGGAGAGGUUGACCGUCCCCAACAGUUUCAAACUGAGUCUCCAUUUCUUGCAGCCAAACCUGCAACAGGUCCUGAGGAAAACAUGUUCCAUAUCAUAGGUUCAUAGGUGUGGCUAAUGGCCUUGGGGCCUUUACAAGCCUAGCCAUAGGA